GUCUAGUACAUAGAUCAGUUGGUUAGAGCAUGGUGCUUAGAAUGCCUAGUUUGCAGGUUCAAUCCCCAUAUGGGACA